ACAACGUUCGGACCGUCGGUCUACCGAGCAAUAUCACCCGCUCAGUGGAAGAUCUUCCCUUUGUCUU
rnacentral:pre_miRNA from 1 species